UCGUGCAUUCGUGUUUAUUCCCGCGCUGUUGCAAUUUCCUUCAAGACGCAAAUACGCCCUGUUUUUAGUUGCGAACAAGCUAUAAGCUGUGAAAUUAAUGUUGGGUUGUCUAUGCACUUGCAGGAAACGCAGCGUCAAGCUGCUGUUAAACAGAAAACGAAGGGUGUGAGUAGCCGUUUUAAGAAGAAGCAGCGAGGCGUCCUGUUUGGUGAUGCUGAGGGACGCAAAAAGACCGAGAAAGAACUUCUCAAAGAAGAAGUGAAUAUGCUGAAGGCCGAAAAUUCAAAACUUUUGGACCGAAUAAGAAUGCUCGAAAAGGCCCUAUGCAGCAAAAUUUUCGAAACAGAAAAAAACCACGUCCUGUGCGAGGGCUGCAGCCGCAAGCCAGAACAACAAGUUGCGCUUUUGCCAUUGCCAUGUGCCGCCACGGUGCAGCCGCCACGCACCGCCACAGCGACCACGGGCAGCCCUGAAGUGGCCCACACAAGUGCGAGGGAGGCCGAUUGCGUGCCCACUGACGGAGAGGUGUUUUAAAACUCUAGUGUGCUUUGUCUUAAAUGUAUAAUGCUUUGCUGUAAUGAGAAAAUGUGCACUGACAUAUUGUUGUGUGCACAUCAUCUUUAACUUGUUUUAUAGGCGCAUCUGGGCAAAGGGCCAUUCCUGAGGGCCUGUACAGCCGCCUCAUGGGCACAAAAAGCGAAACCCGCUUUGUUCGUGAGGCGGCCGUUGCCAUUUAUUCAACGGCAGGCUUAGUCGGGCGGAGUGUAACUGGAACAGCCUCUAACCGGACGAAGGGAGAGGCAAAGCCUCCCUCGGAUAAAGAAAUAUACGCUGUGUUUUCUGAUUUCUUCAACCAUUUUUAGAAAAACAAUUUUCCAACUGGAGAGGUCGAGCAAAAG